CCACUGAGUCCAGUCCAGGACAACACUGAGCAGAAGGUAUGUUCUGUUAGUUCAUGGAACCCACUGAGUCCAGUCCAGGACAACACUGAGCAGAAGGUACGUUCUGUUAGUUCAUGGAACCCACUGAGUCCAGUCCAGGACAACACUGAGCAGAAGGUAUGUUCUGUUAGUUCAUGGAACCCACUGAGUCCAGUCCAGGACAACACUGAGCAUGGAACCCACUGAGUCCAGUCCAGGACAACACUGAGCAGAAGGUAUGUUCUGUUAGUUCAUGGAACCCACUGAGUCCAGUCCAGGACAACACUGAGCAGAAGGUAUGUUCUGUUAGUUCAUGGAACCCACUGAGUCCAGUCCAGGACAACACUGAGCAGAAGGUAUGUUCUGUUAGUUCAUGGAACCCACUGAGUCCAGUCCAGGACAACACUGAGCAGAAGGUAUGUUCUGUUAGUUAAUGGAACCCACUGAGUCCAGUCCAGGACAACGCUGAGCAGAAGGUACGUUCUGUUAGUUCAUGGAACCCACUGAGUCCAGUCCAGGACAACACUGAGCAGAAGGUAUGUUCUGUUAGUUCAUGGAACCCACUGAGUCCAGUCCAGGACAACACUGAGCAUGGAACCCACUGAGUCCAGUCCAGGACAACACUGAGCAGAAGGUAUGUUCUGUUAGUUCAUGGAACCCACUGAGUCUAGUCCAGGACAACACUGAGCAUAAGGUAUGUUCUGUUAGUUCAUGGAACCCACUGAGUCCAGUCCAGGACAACACUGAGCAGAAGGUAUGUUCUGUUAGUUCAUGGAACCCACUGAGUCCAGUCCAGGACAACACUGAGCAGAAGGUAUGUUCUGUUAGUUCAUGGAACCCACUGAGUCCAGUCCAGGACAACACUGAGCAGAAGGUAUGUUCUGUUAGUUCAUGGAACCCACUGAGUCCAGUCCAGGACAACACUGAGCAGAAGGUAUGUUCUGUUAGUUCAUGGAACCCACUGAGUCCAGUCCAGGACAACACUGAGCAGAAGGUAUGUUCUGUUAGUUCAUGGAACCCACUGAGUCCAGUCCAGGACAACACUGAGCAGAAGGUAUGUUCUGUUAGUUCAUGGAACCCACUGAGUCCAGUCCAGGACAACACUGAGCAGAAGGUAUGUUCUGUUAGUUCAUGGAACCCACUGAGUCCAGUCCAGGACAACACUGAGCAGAAGGUAUGUUCUGUUAGUUCAUGGAACCCACUGAGUCCAGUCCAGGACAACACUGAGCAGAAGGUAUGUUCUGUUAGUUCAUGGAACCCACUGAGUCCAGUCCAGGACAACACUGAGCAGAAGGUAUGUUCUGUUAGUUCAUGGAACCCACUGAGUCCAGUCCAGGACAACACUGAGCAGAAGGAGGCUGACCGUCAGAGCUGUGUGUCCAGUGUGGUCUACCAGGCUGACCAGGCCUGCAGACGCCUGGUCUCACAGGCCAUGCAGGAGGCCAGAGAACAUCAACUUCCCCAGAGAGGAUGAGGUCUCUGGCAGCCGACU